rnacentral:rRNA from 1 species
UAGGGAAUAUUGCGCAAUGGAGGCAACUCUGACGCAGCGACGCCGCGUGGGUGAUGAAGGCUUUCGGGUCGUAAAGCCCUGUCGGAAGGGACGAAAAAUGUUGUGGCUAACAUCCACGACAAUUGACGGUACCUUCAGAGGAAGCACCGGCUAACUACGUGCCAGCAGCCGCGGUAAUACGUAGGGUGCAAGCGUUGUUCGGAAUCAUUGGGCGUAAAGCGCGUGUAGGCGGUUAGAUAAGUCGAGUGUGAAAUCCCUGGGCUCAACCGAGGAAGUGCAUUCGAAACUAUCUGGCUGGAAGACGGUAGAGGAAGGUGGAAUUCCUAGUGUAGAGGUGAAAUUCGUAGAUAUUAGGAGGAAUACCAGCGGCGAAGGCGGCCUUCUGGACCAUUCUUGACGCUGAGACGCGAAAGCGUGGGGAGCAAACAGGAUUAGAUACCCCCGUAGUCC